rnacentral:rRNA from 1 species
UACAGAGGGGGCAAGCGUUGUUCGGAAUUACUGGGCGUAAAGAGCUCGUAGGCGGUUUCGUAAGUCGGAUGUGAAAACUCAGGGCUCAACCCGGAGACGCCAUCCGAUACUGCGAUGACUUGAGUCUGGUAGGGGAUCACGGAAUACCUGGUGUAGCGGUGAAAUGCGCAGAUAUCAGGUGGAACACCGAUGGCGAAGGCAGUGAUCUGGGCCAGUACUGACGCUGAGGAGCGAAAGCGUGGGGAGCAAACAGG